AGAGUUUGAUCAUGGCUCAGGACGAACGCUGGCGGCGUGCCUAACACAUGCAAGUGGAGCGACGAACCAGGGCUUGCCCUGGGGCCAAGCCGCGAACGGGUGAGUAACACGUGGGUAACCUGCCCCGAAAACCGGGACAACCCGAGGAAACUCGGGCUAAUACCGGAUGACCCCCUCGAGCUCAAGCUCGCUGGGAAAAGGAAGCUUCGGCCUCCGUUUCGGGAGGGGCCCGUGGCCCAUUAGCUUGUUGGUGAGGUAACGGCUCACCAAGGCGACGAUGGGUAGCUGGUCUGAGAGGACGAUCAGCCACACUGGGACUGAGACACGGCCCAGACUCCUACGGGAGGCAGCAGUGGGGAAUCUUGCGCAAUGGGCGACAGCCUGACGCAGCAACGCCGCGUGAGGGAAGAAGGCUUUCGGGUCGUAAACCUCUUUCAGGAGGGACGAAGCUUCGGGGGUGAAUAGCCUUCCGGAGUGACGGUACUUCCACAAGAAGCCCCGGCUAACUACGUGCCAGCAGCGGCGGUAAUAC
rnacentral:rRNA from 1 species